rnacentral:misc_RNA from 1 species
UUUCCGUAGGUGAACCUGCGGAAGGAUCAUUACUGAGUGAGGGCCCCUCGGGGUCCAACCUCCCACCCGUGUUUAACGAACCUUGUUGCUUCGGCGGGCCCGCCUCACGGCCGCCGGGGGGCAUCUGCCCCCGGGCCCGCGCCCGCCGAAGCCACCUGUGAACGCUGUCUGAAGUCUGCAGUCUGAGACAAUUAUUAAAUUAAUUAAAACUUUCAACAACGGAUCUCUUGGUUCCG